GAUUUUUAACGACAUUCACCGGUUUCGUAAAGCGGUCGUUUGUUUUGGCGCAAUGCGGAAGUGUCGUCUUGAUGCAGUUUUUUGGCUAAAAAGUUGACGAAUUCUUCGUCUCACAACGUCUGUCAUUUGUUUUACGUUUGCCAUCAGUUUUAGGCAGUAACUGUUAGCUGUCGAGAGUACCGGAACAGACUGUGAAGUAUUUCUAUAGAUCUAAAUAUGGUUCGUAAAAAAGGACAUUUUGUCUGGCAUUCGGAAUUCCUACACUAGUGAUCCAUGAGGACUUUAUCCAGUUUCCAGAAUGGCAGGAAGGAAGGACUUAUUGAAUUGGACCACUUGACAAGGCAGCUUACAAAAGUCAGAAAUUUAAAAGCAGCCACUGGGCGACAGUAAAUUGAAGCUUGUCUACAUUUUCCAUAAAAUUUCCAAAAUAAAUACUGGAAAAAAAACAACAUGGAAAUACAUACGACAUCAAGUUCAACACAAAAUAGCACAGCACCAGAAUGAAUGCGGAAGUUGUCAUGAGUGGUGUGGCAUUGUUCCUGUUCAUUUAUGGUUUACAGAUUCCAAAAGUCUGAACCAGAUAUGAGUAGAGUACAGUUUGAGAAAUGUCUUGGUAGAACAGAUACUAAGGUAAUAAUAAAGAGCAGAACAGACCACAUUUCUUCUUCUUAUAACUAGUAAAGUUCGAAGUAAGGGCGAGUACAAUAAUGCAGCCCCAGUGAGAGUUCGUGAUGAGGUGUCAACUGUAAAUGUGUGGUCGUUAAAUGAUGUGCAGUCAGAUUGACAAGUAUUUGAAGUAACAUUAAUUUAUAAAUUAUCAAUUCUGAGAGGAAUUUUUGCUGAGCUUUGUGCAGGAUACUCUUAAAAAAUACGUGAACCAGAAUUUUAUAUUAUAAGUACAAUGUCAGAUGUACUCCAGACUUCACACAUAUGUUGAUGUUUAUACAUAUGUAGUGAUUAAUUUGUCAAGUGAAGAAACUUUAUGAAUAAUGUUAGUGGGUGACAGAACAGAAGUACAAAGUCAAUUACAGAGGUCGACAACACUGAGUUUAGGAUGCAGAAAAAAUCCGGUGAUUCUGACGAAACAACCUACAUAGAAAGAUUAUACUAGUAAAAUGAAAACUUUUAGUGUAUGGAAAAGUUUGGAAGCAGGUUUACCAUUGACAGAAGAGACAGUAUUUACAGACUGGUCUACACUUAUUUUGAUUUGACUUUUACACGGUGAUUCCUCCAGUAAACAGCUAGUGAUCUGAGAGAAUUGUGUUCAUUAUAUCAUACAGGUUUAGAGUGAAUGUAAAAUUAAUGUGUAUUUAAAUCAAUUAAAAAUUUUCAAAAUUGGAUGUUGAAACUUUACAACUGUUUAGUAUUUCAGUAAUCAGUUAGGAUUUUUGAGUGCUUUCAAUAAAGUACAAAUUAAAAAAAAAAGAAUCACUAUCAGCCAAGAUGAUGUGCUAUUGUAAAAGAUAGAAAGAAAAUUCACAAGUCACAUUAACUUGGUAAAAGGGAUUUUAACAGAAUUAAACUAUAAUUGGUGAAGGAAUCUGCAUGUUGUAUCAAAUAGCUAUAAUGUAUUUUGUAGUUCUUUGGAUGUAUCUUCUAUCUAUCUCUUUUCAAACUAAAUUUUAUCUCUUAAAUCUAUUGAAAUUGCUAUCAAAAUAAAAAUUUCUUUUAAAAACAAUAUAUUUAACAAUUAAAAGGUAUAUUCAACAAGCCAGUACUUUGUUACUAAUCUUAGUCAGUGGAAUUUAUUUUUAGACUUGUCCUAUUUCUUUUUAUUCAGUUUCUGGAUCCCCAUUUAUUAGUUACUGUACACAUUUUGGGAUUCCAGCAAUUUUCCACAUCCUCAUUACAAGGUAGUAUUGAUUUUUCAUUGGUCCAGUGGUUAACUAAUUUUAGCAUAAAGUAAAACUGUUCUAUUAAUAGAUAUUCAGAAAAUCUGUUUGAGUUAUUUAUACCCAGUAUACAAAUUCAUGUACUUUUAUUUGAUUUGAACAUUACUGUUUAAUAUUAUCCUGAACAAAUUACAGGUUUUCUUUGCUUUAUAUUAGAGAAUUUUGGUAAAUUUCGUUGAUGAAAGGUCCAAGGUACUUUUCUCAAAUAGUCAAUUAAUAGAAAUUUUCAAAUAUAAUAUCUUGUGCAGUGAAUUAAAAAGAAAUUUAUUUAUUUCA